rnacentral:rRNA from 1 species
CCAUGCCGGCGUGAGUGAAGAAAGCCCUUGGGGUGUAAAAGCUCUUUUGGGGGGGGACGAAAAGGUUCCGUGCUACCACCACGAUUCCAUGACGGUACCCGCAGAAGAGGCACCGGCUAAUUACGUGCCAGCAGCCGCGGUAAUACGUAGGGUGCAGGCGUUAUUGGGAAUUACUGGGCGUAAAGCGUGCGCAGGCGGUCUGCUAAGAGAGAUGUGAAAUCCCCGGGCUUAACCUGGGAACUGCGUUUCUAACUGGCAGGCUUGAGUGCGGCAGAGGGGGGUGGAAUUCCACGUGUAGCAGUGAAAUGCGUAGAGAUGUGGAGGAACACCGAUGGCGAAGGCAGCCCCCUGGGUCGACACUGACGCUCAUGCACGAAAGCGUGGGGAGCAAACAGGAUUAGAUACCCUGGUAGUCCACGCCCUAAACUAUGUCAACUGGUUGUCGGGGAAGCAAUUCCUUGGUAACGAAGCUAACGCGUGAAGUUGACCGCCUGGGGAGUACGGCCGCAAGGUUAAAACUCAAAGGAAUUGACGGGGACCCGCACAAGCGGUGGAUUAUGUGGAUUAAUUCGAUGCAACGCGAAAAACCUUACCUACCCUUGACAUGCCAGGAACCUCGCAGAGAUGUGAGGGUGCCCGAAAGGGAACCUGGACACAGGUGCUGCAUGGCUGUCGUCAGCUCGUGUCGUGAGAUGUUGGGUUAAGUCCCGCAACGAGCGCAACCCUUGCCAUUAGUUGCCACAUUCAGUUGGGCACUCUAAUGGGACUGCCGGUGACAAACCGGAGGAAGGUGGGGAUGACGUCAAGUCCUCAUGGCCCUUAUGGGUAGGGCUUCACACGUAAUACAAUGGCCGGUACAGAGGGCAGCCAACCCGCGAGGGGGAGCUAAUCCCAGAAAGCCGGUCGUAGUCCGGAUUGCAGUCUGCAACUCGACUGCAUGAAGCCGGAAUCGCUAGUAAUCGCGGAUCAGCAUGUCGCGGUGAAUACGUUCCCGGGUCUGUACACACCGCCCGUAAUCGAUUCCCGGGCCGCCUGGGGCCGGGCUG